rnacentral:lncRNA from 1 species
GUGCCCGGUAGUCCUGGGGUGACCCUGGUGUCAUGCAGGGGAGCUGGCAUGUGUAGUGGAGGUGUUUGUGUGGCCUGCAGUAGGAUGCAGCCCUGGCUUGUAGCCUGAGCCCAAUGACCUGCCUGUCCUGUCGUUUCAGGGUUCAGUGGUGGAGAGAGCAUCGGGUGCCCUGCGUCUGUGACGGGCCAGUAUUCCACAUGGAUCUCAUCACAUGGUCCAUGGAAGAUGAUGACCCCAGAGGAGGACUCGUGUUGGACGCACUGUCCCCGGGCCAGUGUCCAUCAGCCAGGUGCCUAGGCCCUAUUGCACUGUAG